AACGAACGCUGGCGGCAUGCCUAACACAUGCAAGUCGAACGAGACCUUCGGGUCUAGUGGCGCACGGGUGCGUAACGCGUGGGAACCUGCCCUUAGGUUCGGAAUAACUCCCCGAAAGGGGUGCUAAUACCGGAUAAUGUCUUCGGACCAAAGAUUUAUCGCCUUUGGAUGGGCCCGCGUUGGAUUAGCUAGUUGGUAGGGUAAAAGCCUACCAAGGCGACGAUCCAUAGCUGGUCUGAGAGGAUGAUCAGCCACACUGGGACUGAGACACGGCCCAGACUCCUACGGGAGGGAGCAGUGGGGAAUAUUGGACAAUGGGCGAAAGCCUGAUCCAGCAAUGCCGGGUGAGUGAUGAAGGCCUUAGGGUUGUAAAGCUCUUUUACACGGGAUGAUAAUGACAGUACCGGGAGAAUAAGCUCCGGCUAACUCCGUG
rnacentral:rRNA from 1 species